CAUGUUAUCAGCUGUUGUGUAUGUUCCCAGACAAAUAUCCAUUCCAGUCACUUUGGGUUAGUUCAUGUGUGUUGAAGGAAGCAGCUUGGGCCUAGGAUCUGGUUAGAGUUACUCUCACGGCAUCAUAAAGCAUAAUUUCUGGUUCUUCCUGAUGACAUUCUGAAGCACAUGAUAAGACGGGGACCGGGAGCUGGAAGAUGGAUUGGCCCGGAGGAGUCAGCUUGGCUGCUAGAGAUGAUGACUGAUGAAGGAUGCAGCUGUUGCAACAAAGCCCGGAUUCCCAUCUCCUUCGACUUGAGUCCUAAGCAUGUGACACUCGUCUCAACACACAUGGUGUUUAUUUUGCUGUGUUGAAACGCUUGUUUACUGUUUGUUUCCCUUGCUAGACAGAAAAGUCAUUGAGGCCAAGCACGCCGUGGUCCAGGGUUUGGAGCUGUCCCUCUGCCAUGCUCCCAGCUCAGGGACUGUUGGAAGCCAUCUCAGGCCGUGAAAGAACUUCUUCUCUAAGUUUGUGCUUGAGCUUUCUCCAUUCAGAACAAAAUACAUCAUUUGAAGCCAUCAGGUACUCAAGUGGGCAUGGGGGAUGACUCCUCACGCUACAGUAGGGUUUCCUGCUAAGCAGUUUCCAACCUUGUCUGCCCCUGGGGCUCUCCUGGCCCCCCUCCCCCACUCCUAGAUCCGCCUUCUUGAUUAUCUUGCUUCAGGAUCUCAUAUAGCCUUAAUUCCUCCUUAUUGCUUGGCAGGAUGCCAGACACAUUUAAAAAAAAGGUUAAUUUUCUAGUGAGGAAGUAAUUUUAUUCAAAUAAAUGAGGAAACUUCUGCAGGA